GUCGGGUUCUCCUAGCCUGGUAGGGAGCUGGCCUGCUAAGUCAGUGCGGAUUCCGCACAUGGGUUCAAAUCCCAUACCCGACGCCA
rnacentral:tRNA from 1 species